UUUUCUCAAAUUUUCUAUCAAGAACACCCCUUAGGGUUUCAAACAAAAAUCCCAAAUAACUCAAGAUUCAACUGUGGGUUUUGGAAGAUAAUUGGAGAUUUGGAAUCCCCACAUCGUAGGCUUCAAGGAUCAUCCCUCAAUUUCUUAAAUAGAGGUAUGUGGGGUUAUAUUGUGUAUCCGUUAUAUUGUUUUCAUAUGAUUCUUGACCAUGUUUCCGUUAUAUUGUGUAUCUUCCGCAUUUCCAUUGUCAUAUAGGUCAUGUGCAUGAUUACCAGACAGAUAGGGGUGUUCCGGGCCUUUAUGGUUCGGAAUACUCGUCACGACCAGGGCCUCGGUUCGGGUCGUGACAUUCGGAUUCUUUUAUUUCCUUAUUUUUCUUUAGCUGCAGGCAGUGCACAAGAAACCGUCUUUCUUCAGUCUGUUGCAUGCUUAUACUAAUAGAUAUCCCAAUGGUGUCAAACUUGGAGAGAAUUCAUCCAAGUCGGGAGAGGCGGAAUUUCAGAGUGGGGAGCCGCCUCUGUUGAUGCAAUGCCGGCUAUUCUACAAUGGUCUUGCUGUAAAAGGAACCCUUCUAGUCAAUAGAAAGCUGCCACGGCGCACAAUUCAGAUUAGGCCCUCAAUGAUCAAGGUCGAGGCAGAUCCAAGGCUGUCAAGAGCUCAAAUAUUUAAAUCGUUGGAAAUAAAUACACCCAGGUGUUCCCGUGGAGUAUUUCUUUGAUAUUCUGAAGAAUACUUUGGAGGAAACACAAAGAUUACACUCAGAUGAGGUGACAGCUCUAAAAGGAUGGUUUAUACUUCAAGGCUUGUGGUUCUCGGGUUACCAACAAUGUAUGCAUCCAAGCAACUUUCCACACGCGGGGUUUCUUUAAGUCAUGCUCAAAAUGGGCCUUCCUUGCAUAUCCUUGUGCUCUCGGGGCGAUCAAGUGUUGAGCCUUUAGGUGUUGGCCUCCAAUGACGUCAUCAAAAGCUAAGGAGGCCAUUUGACUUGUAUCAACAAAUCCAGAACGCAGUUCAUAGCAUCUGAAGUCUUCAAUCCUUAGCAAACUUUAGUCGGAAUCAGAAUCACUUCGACUAAGUUUACAUUCAGCUGUAGCAAAAAGAACAUAAAGGGUCAGCUAUAAACUUCAAAAUUCUUUGAAAUUUCAAAGGAAAUUAUUGUACUCACCUGGAUCGUUGUAAAGAACGAAUGUUUACACCUUUGCUUCCCA